UAAAUCUGCCUUAAAAACUGAGUGUGCAAGAAGGGGUCUAAUGAGGGAGGCCACCAAGAGACCUAUGACAACUCUAGAGGAGUUACAAGUUUCAGUGGCUGAGAUGGAAGAGACUGCACAUAAAACAACUUGCUCGGGUGCUUCACCAGUCAUAGCUUUAUGAGAGAGUGGCUAAAAGAAAGCAACUAUUGAAACCAUCUCACAUGAAAUCUCGGCUAGAGUUAGCUCGAAAGCAUGUGAGAGGCUCUGAAGUCAGCUGGAAGAAAUUCUAUGGUCUGAUGAAACCAAACUUGAGCUUUUUGGCCAUCUGACUAAACGCUAUGUUUGGCGUAAGCCAAACACUGCAUAAUAUCAAAGACACAUCAUCCCUACUGUGAAGCAUGGUGGUGGUUGUAUCAUGCUGUGGGAAUGCUUCACUGCAGCAGGGGUUGGGAAAGCUUGUGAAGGUAGAGGGUAAAAUGAAUGCAGCAAAAACAGGGAAAUCCUGGAGGAAAACCUGAUGCAGUCCGCAAGAGAACUGUGACUUUGGAAAAGAUUUGUUUUCCAGCAAGACAGUGACCCCAAGUAUAAAGCCAAAUCUACAGAGGAAUGGUUUUAAAAAAAUGUUAAUAUCCUGGAGUGGCCAAGUCAGAGUCCAGACCUCAAUCCAAUUGAGAAUUUGUGGCUGACUUAAAAAGGGCUGUUCACUCACAAUCCCCAUGCAAUCUGACAGAGCUUGAGCAGUUCUGUAAAGAACAGUAAGGAAAAGUUGCAGUGUCCAGAUGUGGAAAGCUGAUACAGGCUUACCCACACAAUGGCUGUAAUUGCUGCCAAAGGUGCAUCUACUAAAUACUGACUUGAAGAGGGCAUUCACAGUUAAUACAAAGAAACAAUAGAAUCAAUGAAAAACCACACAAGAUGGACAAACAACUCAUGUGUAAAAGACAUCAAACUAUGCAAAUUCAAAGUAAUAAUAAAUUUCCACCUCCUGUUAAAACUACUGACACUGAGCAGGUUCAUGUGAAGAAUGCACUUGUCAAGGAAGAAAGAAGCCACGAGUGCAAGUGGUUGGACAUCAAGAGGUGCAGAAGGUAUGAGGAGAAAUUAAAACAGUAAAGCUGCUUGCACAAGAAUCUCGAAAAUGUUAAGACCAGCACCAAAACAUGACGUAUAAUGUUAUCCAUAAAUUUUCUUCCAGCACAAUUUUACAAAUAUUGAUUUAAUUGACCAGUUUGGUUUUGCCUUCAGUAAACUAACUCUAGUAAUGUGGGUUUUACUUGCUUUCCAAGGACAUUUAGUCUGGCCUGUCCUUGGGCUCCAGCUAGAAGAGUGAUUGUGCAAUCAGGAAGAAGACAAUGACAUCU